rnacentral:lncRNA from 1 species
AUGUUGGGUGAAAUCUGUUCAUCUGUCUUUCUUUGUCUCCACAGCCUUGUGAUUGGUAUGAUCAACAACUGCGUACAGAGGCUGGUCUCGGAGCUUCCCCUGCUCAUUCCUCUACUGCACACGCUCAGACAGCCGGGAGCAGACGCUGGCAGGCUUGGUCCUACUAUAGAGGAGAUGAACUGGGCAGGGCUUGAAAAUGUUAAGUUCAACAACUUCAGAGAGAGGAUCAGAAGCUUUUCUGACAAAAGAAGGAUGAUGCUCACUUUGAUCCAGAAUCACAUUUCUGUGGCUAAAGAGAUGCCUCUGGUUUGGACCAGCUGGCUGUCCCUGGUGGCCUUUGAGGACCUUCCGAAAUUCUCCACCCUGAAGAGCAUACCUCCAGAACACAUGAUCCAGAGCCUGCUGUACAGGCUUCGACAGUAUGGGGAGAAUACUGAUGUCAAAACACAAUACAAUGUAGAAGUAAGUUAUGGAUGAUUAAUAUCUGAUAAGGUUACUCAGUUAAAGAGUAGUGCUAUUGUGGUGGAUCUUUAAAUAUUCAUUUGUGACAUUAUUAUUUCAACUUCCAGGUUACUCAAGAGAUCCUGUGCUUUGUACUGGAGAAAGUUGAAGAGGAGAAGGAAAGGUAUUGGAAUUUGAGAUCUGUGAGCAUGAGUCCUUUGAGUGUUAUAUUAUUCUGCUAUUGUAUGUGUGGCUUUUGUUUAUAGGCUAGCAGAUUCUGGGUACGUGGAGUCCAUCCUCUUGAGUUGCAUCAGUGUUCUGAAGAGCACUUGCCGGAUGGCGCGACUUGUCCCGUUGUACAAGGCAACAGUGCUAUCCUUCCAACUAGUGCUGAAAGCGGCUGAAAUUCUGGAUGCUGCUCUUGCAAACAAGGUAGUUGUUGAUCUGGUAAUUUGCUGUUCUAUUUAUACCCCCCUUUUUCUCCUCAAUUUCGUGAUAUCCAAUUGGUACUUACAGUCUUGUCCCAUCACUGCAACUACAGUACGGACCCAGGAGAGGCGAAGGUCGAGAGCCAUGCGUCCUCUGAAACACCACCCUGCCAAGCCGCACUGCUUCUUGACACACUGCUUUCUUAACCCGGAAGCCAGCCGCACCAAUGUGUCGGAGGAAACACCGUACAAUUAGCGACCGUGUCAGCGUGCAUGCGCCCGGCCUGCCACAGGAGUUGCUAGAGCGCAAUGCUGCAAGGUCAUACAAGCCCUCUCCUAACCCAGACGAGGCUGGGCCAAUUGUGCGCUGCCUCAUGGGUCUCUCGGUCACGGCUGGCUGCGACACAGCCCGGGAUCGAACCUGGGUCUGUAGUGACGCCUUAGACCACUGCUCCACUCGGGAAGCCGUCGCUGUUGUUCUUUGAGGUCCAAUAGUAUGCCUAAUGGUGUGUGUGUUCCUCCCCAGACUCCGGAUGUUGAGGAGAAGAGACCUGAGCAGUUCCAGCUAUCUGACAAGCUUGGGGACGUGCUGCAACAUCUCAGCCAGUGGAGAGACAAUCUUUUUCAGAAUGCUCUCCUGAAACAAGGCACUCAGUCCAAAUCCCUCAGCUACCCCAAAGAAAUAGAGGUACUGUAGCCAAACUAGCAGACAUACAAGACCUUAGCAGACAAUAUUUGUUCCCAGACGUACACAGUUUUCUGUUAAUUAUAAACCUGUUUGUAUGUGUAUGUUCACCUUGUGUUGGUAGAUGUGGGAUGCCUUCCUGAGGGUAGAAUGCUCUCUGCAGAGUGUGUCAGCCCAGUGGAGGUCCAGCCUGGACAGAGACCUGAGGAAGAGGAUCUCUAGGGUGAGUGUAUAGGCCUACAGACCAGGUCAUACAUUCAGGAAACCUAGGAGAGUUUUGAGAUUUGAUUAGCUGGACACAAUUGGUCAGAUUCACUAGGACACAAAUCAAGAAUAGUCCUGGUCUAAAGAGCACAUUCAAUGUUCUUUAUUGAGCAUUAUUUUUAGUCUAGGAUUAGGCUCAAUCUGUGUCAGGUAAACAGGCUGUGUCUUUCCUACUAUGCGGUGCCUUUUCUGUCCCCAGGAAAUAUCACUUGUUAUUUAAAGUAAAAUGUAGAUUCUAAAAGGCUUUAAAUAUAAGGUCAGGUGUCCUUUACCUUAACAACUCAAAAAUAUGGAUCUUGAAAGGGAAUUUUAUGCAUUUUGAAAAUGUCCCAGGGUGUUAUUUGUCUACUUCUACGAGAAUUAUAAGCUAUAAUUUGUUUAAAAUCUUUCAUUAGAGUAUUUUUGUCCAAAAUACUUGGACUCGAGUCACAAAUUUGAUAACUUGAGACUUGACUUGAUAGAAAAUAAAAUAACUUCAGACUUGGAGCAACAAGACUCGGGACUCGACUUUGACUUGAGACUGAUGAUUUGAAAUGAUCUAGCCAGGUUUUGUAAUGUUUUGGCACUCAUUCUGUGGCAGAGUUUACGUGGAUUACUCUCCACGCAGCCAGAGACAGUAGCCGCAGUAUCUCCCUUGCAAAAAAAGGUGCAACGGAUUGGGUAGUGAAAUGCACACUCGGCACUGUGAUUGGACCAACAAACUGUCAAUCAACACAGGUGUCAGGAGGUCUAUGUGUAGCUGGUGUAUAGGAGUCAGGCGCAGGACAGCAGAUAUGAGUAAAUAACCGUAUUUAACUCAACAUAUAAUAAAUGCAAUACAAAAACAGAGGCCACAAUAACAGACCUACCUACAUAGAAACAAUCACUCACAAACAAACAUGGGGGAACAGAGGGUUAAAUAAUGAAUAGGUAAUUGGGGGAUUGAAACCAGGUGUGUAAGACAAAGACAAAAUAAAUGGAAAAUGAAAAGUGGAUCGGCGAUUGCUAGAAGGCCGGUGACGUCGACCGCCGAACGCCCGCCCAAACAAGGAGAGGGACCGACUUCGGCGGAAGUCGUGACAACAGGUCGGAUGGUGAGCUAGCGAACAAUUGCUGAUUUGCUGUACAGCAAAAGGAUCGGGUGCAGCACAAACGUCAAAUUAUAGGAAGAGAGGAUUUCCAUACUGAAUAAAUAUGCAGCUCGAAAAAAAUUGGUGAUCAAGAAUAUUAACUGUUUACUUUGCAAGCCCAUCAGCAAUUACUAACAUAGGCCUACUGGUAUUUUGUUAUGUAACAAUUGCUUAAAAUGUAUAAUUUACUUAUGAAGUUUGUAUUUGGAAUUUGCUGUUAAAAUUUGUUAUUACUGUGGCGAAGAUGCACCAUAGGCACAGCUCUUCACUUCACUCUUCACCAAACUCCCGCCGGUGGAGAGAGCUUUUUUUCUCCUGUUGAAAUGUUUGCUCUUGCUUUCACACGUUUAAAUGCAUAGGCCCUGUGUGGGAAAUCUAUAUUCCGUUUAAUAAUACAAUAAUUGCUAGCGUUUCAUAAUUCUAUCUCGUACCAUUUAUUGCAACACCUAGACAUUUCUGUUUGAUAGCCCUACCAUUGGGUUAGUGGUUAGAGCGUUGGGCCAGUAACUGAAAGGUUGCUUGAUCGAAUCCCAGAGCUGGUAAAUAUCUGUCCCUGAACAAGGCAGUUAAUAUGCUGUUCCUAGGUCGUCAUUUUAAAUAAGAAUUUGUUCUUAACUGACUUGCCUAGUUAAAUAAAGGUUAAAUAAAAAA